rnacentral:rRNA from 1 species
GAUUAAGUUAUUAAGGGCGCACGGUGGAUGCCUUGGCACUAGAAGCCGAUGAAGGACGUUACUAACGACGAUAUGCUUUGGGGAGCUGUAAGUAAGCUUUGAUCCAGAGAUUUCCGAAUGGG